GUGAGGAAUAUUGCGCAAUGGAGGCAACUCUGACGCAGCCAUGCCGCGUGCAGGAAGAAGGCGCUACGCGUUGUAAACUGCUUUUAACCGGGAAGAAACCCCAGGACGUGUCCUGGGUUGACGGUACCGGAGGAAUAAGCACCGGCUAACUUCGUGCCAGCAGCCGCGGUAAUACGAAGGGUGCAAGCGUUAUCCGGAUUCAUUGGGUUUAAAGGGUGCGUAGGCGGAGCGUUAAGUCAGUGGUGAAAUCCUGCAGCUUAACUGUAGACUUGCCAUUGAUACUGGCGCUCUUGAGUGCGCUUGAAGUGGGCGGAAUGUGCCGUGUAGCGGUGAAAUGCUUAGAUAUGGCACAGAACACCAAUUGCGAAGGCAGCUCACUAAGGCGAUACUGACGCUGAGGCACGAAAGCGUGGGGAUCGAACAGGAUUAGAAACCCUUGUAGUCC
rnacentral:rRNA from 1 species